rnacentral:rRNA from 1 species
UACGGAGGAUCCAAGCGUUAUCCGGAAUCAUUGGGUUUAAAGGGUCCGUAGGCGGUCUUAUAAGUCAGUGGUGAAAGCCCCAUCGCUCAACGAUGGAACUGCCAUUGAUACUGUAAAACUUGAAUGCUUAGGAAGUAACUAGAAUAUGUAGUGUAGCGGUGAAAUGCUUAGAUAUUACAUGGAAUACCAAUUGCGAAGGCAGGUUACUACUAAGUGAUUGACGCUGAUGGACGAAAGCGUGGGAGCGAACAGG